AACGAACGCUGGCGGCAGGCCUAACACAUGCAAGUCGAGCGCCCUUUCGGGGGAGCGGCGGACGGGUGAGUACCGCGUGGGAAUAUGCCCUUCUCUACGGAAUAGCCUCGGGAAACUGAGAGUAAUACCGUAUACGCCCUUUGGGGGAAAGAUUUAUCGGGGAAGGAUUAGCCCGCGUUGGAUUAGGUAGUUGGUGGGGUAAUGGCCUACCAAGCCGACGAUCCAUAGCUGGUUUGAGAGGAUGAUCAGCCACACUGGGACUGAGACACGGCCCAGACUCCUACGGGAGGCAGCAGUGGGGAAUCUUAGACAAUGGGGGCAACCCUGAUCGAGCCAUGCCGCGUGAGUGAUGAAGGCCUUAGGGUUGUAAAGCUCUUUCAGCUGGGAAGAUAAUGACGGUACCAGCAGAAGAAGCCCCGGCUAACUCCGUG
rnacentral:rRNA from 1 species